GAUGAACGCUGGCGGCGUGCCUAAUACAUGCAAGUCGAGCGAACAGACGAGGAGCUUGCUCCUCUGACGUUAGCGGCGGACGGGUGAGUAACACGUCGAUAACCCACCUAUAAGACUGGGAUAACUUCGGGAAACCGGAGCUAAUACCGGAUAAUAUAUUGAACCGCAUGGUUCAAUAGUGAAAGACGGUUUUGAUGUCACGUAUAGAUGGAUCCGCGCGGCAUUAGCUAGUUGGUAAGGUAACGGCUUACCAAGGCAACGAUGCGUAGCCGACCGGAGAUGGUGAUCGGCCCCACUGGAACUGAGACACGCUUCAGACUCCUACGGGAGGCAGCAGUAGGGAAUCUGCCGUAAUGGGCGAAAGCCUGACGGAGCAACGCGGCGUGAGUGAGGAAGUUCUUCGGAUCGUAAAACUCUGUUAGUAGGGAAGAACAAAUGUGUCAGUAACUAUGCACGUCUUGACGGUACCUAAUCAGAAAGCCACGGCUAACUUCGUG
rnacentral:rRNA from 1 species